AGACGCUCCUACUUCGUCCAAUCAGAAGCGAUCGAGCGUGAAAUCCCACCUCUACGACGAUGCUGAACACCCACUCCCGGCGGUCCUAGCUUGGAAGGCCGCAAACAGAGUAACCAAUCACAGUUCAUCUCUCUAAGCAGACACACAUAAUAUAACGAAGGCCAGCCGUUACGGCGUUUGGAAGCCGUCCCUUUGAAAUUCGAACGUUCAUUCCUACUCCGCCCACGGGUAUUCUAUUAUACUAGUUUAAAAGGAGCGCGACAGGAGCACGAUUGAAGUGGAAACUCGUUAUUACUGCCUGUUCUUCAGAAACCACCGUCGAUGGGUGUCAGCUUUCCCCUCUCGUUCUCAUUAUUUCUUAUCAAAAUGUGAAUGAGAAGAAAUUUUCAUUCGAUCUGCGCCAGCCAUCUUGACUCUAUGGCGCAAGUUUUAAACCUCGAUCGUGCGAUUGCCGAAAGAAAGAAGGUGGACUGAAGCCGAAUUGGAAAAGAAAUGAUAACGUAAGUUACAUAUUAAUUUUUUUGUUUAAAUAUUCGUCAAAUAAAAAAUACCUAAUAGUUAUUGCGAAAGCGCGAUGAAAUACCUACGCUCGUUCGUCUUCCCUAUGGGGCUUCCUUAAAAUACAGGGGCAAUAUCUUCUUCUCGUGAUGUUUCUUCCUACGGUACGACGCCACCGUGAACGCGUUUCGCUCGAUUAGGAACUGCGCCAUGAUGAAAAUGCAGCUAAUAUAAAUUGGCGAAACUAAGAAGUUUCUCUCUGUCUCCUUCUCUUGCGGUGACGAGCGUUCAGCGAACCUUUAACUUAUAAUUAGAAUGAAAGUUCUCGAAAACUCGAGAAAUAAGAAAAUUUUUGUUUUAAUACCAGCAGGUUCAUUGUUUAACCUAUAUCAAGUAAUUGUGUUUAAAUAUAUAUAUAUAUAUAUUACAUAUAUGUAUAUAUAUAUAUAUUUAAACACAAUUAAAUUAGCGAAUAAUUCUCUCAGUAUUGAAUGACUUUUCGAAACACCCUGUAUAUCGCUAUUUUGCAUACCAGUCUCGAAGAGUCAUAAAAGUAACUAAGAAAGAGAAAGAGAGAGAGAGAGAGGAAGAGAGAGGCGGAACACAUAAUUAAGAAAGUCUCAGUACUCUUCUCUCUCUCUCUUUCUCUCUCUGCCUCUCUCUCUCUCUCUCUCUCUCUCUCUCUCUCUCUCUCUCUCUCUCUCUCUCUCUCUCUCUCUCUCUCUCUCUCUUUCAAGACGACGAAGACAUCGGCUUCUCUCUCGCGGUGGUGGCAAAGCGGCCUGCCUCUUUCCCCGUUUUACAUUCGGCAGUACAAAUAGCUCGGCGACCCCUGGCCUCGUGUCGGCUCCUCUCAUGUUUCUUCCUCAGAGUGCUUGUCUCUCUUGUCGCGCACGCUUCACGCUUCUGCGCGCCCACACCCUUGCUUGUCUCUCUCUCUCUCUCUCUCUCUCUCGCUUUCUCUUUCUCUCUCAUAUACACCCUUUCUUUCUUUCCUUCGUCGUCGACGAUGCCGAUGCCGACGCCGACGCCGACGCCGACGCCGACGCCGACGCCGACGCUGACGAUGUCGACUUUUGAAUCUCUACUUCCUUUUCUUUUCUCUUUUCUCGUAUGCCGAAGAACUGCCUGGCGGAGACACAUUAGCCGUAUUCCGAGUUUGCAUGGCGGAACGCCUCCUUUUCCUCGUCCUCCUGUACCACCUUUUUCUUCUUCUUCUUCUUCUCCUCUUCCUCCUCUUCUUCUUCUUCACCCCCUUUUCCUUCUUUCUUGUACCAUCCCCACCCUCUCUAGCACGGUUAUUAUGAGGAUGGAUAGAGGUUGGAGCCGCCUUCCACGUAUCCGUAGAGACCUAAUGCCAUCGACUUCUAAAUUGUGUAAAUUGCUAAAUGAAUGUGAAACGUUUAACUCCCACCAACUCACCUACCUCCGCCCCCUCACUUGCUCUCUCUCUUUCUUUCACUCUCUAAGACCAACCCUUCUCUUUUAUUUCCUUUCUUUACCAGAGAAAGCAUCGUAACACGAGCAAUCAAAAUACGACGCACUUUUCGGAUGAUAUCCCUAAUGUUCCGCUUUGAUCGCCCAAUUGUAUUUUCCAAUCUCUCUUCGAAUUUAUUUUUUUGGUAUAAUAUUUUAUAUGAAUAUGUUUUUUUUUCUUUUUCGUUGAAAGUAUUGAAUUUCUCGUGACUAAACUUACUUUAAACAUUUUCGGGAAUCGGUUAUUUUUCUCUCAAAUUCUUCUUCCUCUUUUUUAUCUUCUUUUUUCUUCUUUCUAUCCUUUAAUCUUUCUUGUUGAUUAUAUUUUCAAGACAAACGUGCAUAUUGAUUUACAUACAUUUAUAUGCAUGCGUAUUAGAGUAUAAAAUUGUACCGUUUCAAUCAUGAAAUCUAAUGAAAUUUUUUAUUCGCGUCCCUACUUAUCCUUACAGACGUUUAGAAAUGUUUAAUGAUAUAAAUUCAUGUAUUUUAUGAAGUAUAAGUAUAAUAAAAAGAGAAAACAAUAUGAGAAUAUAUAAGAGGAGAAUUUUACUGUAUCAAGAAUCCACGUUAUACAAUCAUGCUGAAGAAGUUCUCUUUUUCUUUUCUUUUAUUUUACUGAUGAUAGAAAAAAGAGUGUACAGUCUCUAAGGUGCUCUUUAUUCCUGUAUUUUCUGUUCCAUAUAUAUUUUACACUUUUUUUAUGCCUUCAAAUAUAACGAGCGUUAGAGGAACAAAGAGAGCAGGUUUUCAAAGUGUACACCGACCGAGACUGUGAUCACUUUUUUCUUAUAUUAUCCGAGCGAUUUGUCGGAUUAAUUCGCGCUUAGAUGGUCCACGCCUAUCGCUGGAUUUAUUGCAAAGAAAAUUAUUUCUAUUGCAGAAUAUAUUGCACACAUUCUUCUUGUACUUUAUAUUCUGAUAGCAUGUAGUUACAUUCUCAUCGAUAUGAAUACAUCAUGUAAAGACGAUGUAAUGUCCACAAAUUAAAAAAAAAAAA